UAAAGAUACUAAGGGCAUACGGUGGAUGCCUUGGCGAUACUAGCCGAUGAAGGACGCGGUAAGCUGCGAUAAGCUACGGUGAGAUGCAAGCAAUCUUUGACCCGUAGAUUUCCGAAUGGGGAAACCCGGCAGUGGUGAUGCACUGUCAUCCGUAUCUUAGAAUACGAGAGGGGCACCAGGGGAACUGAAACAUCUAAGUACCCUGAGGAAAAGUAAUCAAACGAGAUUUCCUAAGUAGCGGCGAGCGAACGGGAAAGAGCCCAAACCGAAGAGGUUCGCCUCUUCGGGGUUGUGGACUGACAACAAGCAAAAAUGAGUUAGAUGAAUGACUUGGGAAAGUCAACCGAAGAAGGUGAGAGUCCUGUAAUUUAAAGCUUGCAUUUGCAGGUCAGUAUCCAGAGUACCACGAGACACGUGAAACCUUGUGGGAAGCAGGGGGGACCACCCUCCAAGGCAAAAUACUAGUAUCGACCGAUAGCGCAUAGUACCGUGAGGGAAAGGUGAAAAGCACCCCGGGAGGGGAGUGAAAGAGAACCUGAAACCGUAUGUCUACAAACAGUCGAAGACCUAUUAAAAAGGUCGACGGCGUGCCUAUUGAAGAAUGAACCGGCGAGUUACUAUUGCUAGCGAGGUUAAGUGGAAAACAUGGAGCCGAAGCGAAAGCGAGUCUGAAUAGGGCGUUGAGUUAGUAGUAGUAGACCCGAAACCGUAGUGAUCUAUCCAUGGCCAGGUUGAAGCACAGGUAAAAUUGUGUGGAGGACCGAACCCGUGAGCGUUGAAAAGCUUUGGGAUGAGUUGUGGAUAGGGGUGAAAUGCCAAUCGAACACGGAGAUAGCUGGUUCUCCCCGAAAUAGCUUUAGGGCUAGCCUCAUGGAGAGAGUAUAGGCGGUAGAGCACUGAUCGGGCUAGGGGCCAUACCGGUUACCGAACCUAGUCAAACUACGAAUGGCUAUACUUAUACAUGGGAGUCAGACUACGAGUGAUAAGACCCGUUGUCAAAAGGGAAACAGCCCAGAACGCCGACUAAGGUCCCCAAUGCUGUACUAAGUGGUAAAGGAUGUGGGAUUUCUAAAACAACCAGGAUGUUGGCUUAGAAGCAGCCACCAUUUAAAGAGUGCGUAAUAGCUCACUGGUCGAGAGAUCCUGCGCCGAAAAUGACCGGGGCUAAAGUACAGAACCGAAGUCGCGUCAUUAGCAGCAAUGCUAAUGGGUAGGGGAGCGUUCUUACUGGGGUGAAGCAGUACUGUAAGGAGCUGUGGACUGGUAAGAAGUGAGAAUGCCGGUAUGAGUAGCGAAAAGAGAGGUGAGAAUCCUCUCCACCGAAAGCCUAAGGGUUCCUGGGCAACGCUCGUCGUCCCAGGGUAAGUCGGGACCUAAGCCGAGGCGGAAAAGCGUAGGCGAUGGACAACAGGUUGAAAUUCCUGUACUAGUGUAUGAUGUUUGAUCGAUGGAGUGACACAAGAAGGUAGGUCAGCAGGGUGUUGGAUAUCCCUGUUUAAGCAUGUAGGUUGGUUUGUAGGCAAAUCCGCAAACCUUGAAGCUGAGAUGUGAUGACGAGCUCAUUAGAGCGAAGUGAUUGAUCCUAAAUUGUCAAGAAAAGCUUCUAGAAAGUGAUACACUACCCGUACCGUAAACCGACACAGGUAGGCGGGAAGAGAAUUCUAAGGUGCGCGGGAGAACCCUCGUUAAGGAACUCGGCAAAUUACCUCCGUAACUUCGGGAAAAGGAGGACCCCAUUAGUGUGAAAGCUCUUGCAGCUGGAGCAUGAAGGGGUGGCACAAGAGAGGCGCAAGCGACUGUUUACCACAAACACAGGUGCCUGCUAAAGCGAAAGCUGAUGUAUAGGUGCUGACACCUGCCCGGUGCUGGAAGGUUAAGAGGAGGGGUUAGGCGUAAGCCGAAGCUCUGAAUUGAAGCCCCAGUAAACGGCGGCCGUAACUAUAACGGUCCUAAGGUAGCGAAAUUCCUUGUCGGGUAAGUUCCGACCCG
rnacentral:rRNA from 1 species